rnacentral:rRNA from 1 species
AGAGAUGCUACCUGGGUGAUCCCGCCCCUAG